GUUCACAUCGACAGUGAGAUAUCAUAGUGAAGCAGCGGUUGAUGUACAUAAAAAAACAAACUGGAUCGUGGUCGACAGUAAUAGUAGUAGUCAGAUUACUCUGAACUGUGUUCCUGUCCUGAACCUUAGUGGAUUAUUGUUUUGGCUAACUACAUUCACAAAAAAAAAACCUUAAUGGCCAUGGAUGAGAUUAUACUUGUCAAUAUCCCACGAAGCGUUAUUUAUAGUGUUUUGCUUUGAACAAAAUCAGUCUCAUACUCUGAUCAAAGAUGCUGAUAUCGAGAGAGAGAAAAAAGUCUAUCCGGUACAAACCGGUUAUCACUCAACCAACCACAUUGUCCCUAACUAAUAAGCUUGUUGUGGAGACAGAAUUGGUUUUAGUUGCUGUCGGAAUUUCCUCUAAUAGAGAACGUCACACGUCACGCCAAAAGUGUGGUCCUGGACCACGAAGUAAGUAAACCAAGAUCUUCUCUAUCUCUCUCUUUCUCAUCUCUCUCUUUCAUGGCUGUUACUGGCUUCUCUCUCUGAUUUUCUCGAAGUUACACGAUGAGUCUCGUGGUUGGUCAGUCGCCGCGUUUAACUCUAACCGGCGACGGCGUUUCCUUACGCAAUUCGAGAAGAAACGGUGAAAAAUCCAAACUUUUCUUGGUGAAUCAAAGGAGAUCAACGCGUGCUGCUCUUGUUCAAGCUAAGCCCAGAGAAGACGGAGUGGUGGCAAGCUCUUCCCCCUCCUCAAAACCGCCGGUUAUCCAAUACCGACGAGCUGAUCUCGCGGAUGAUCUUCAAGCGGAGGCACGAGCCUUAAGUCGUGCCGUUGAUGCCUCUGUUUAUUCCCCGGAGCUAAUCGCCAAGAAACAUGGCUCUCAGCCUCUCAAGGUUAAUAAUAGCUCUUUCCUGAGUUCGUAUUCUCUGUAAAGUUUUCAACUUUGAACAUAGAGAGAUGAUUAUUAUGCAAAAACCAGGCUUUGCGGAGAAGUCUGGAGAUAUUGUCAGCUUUAGCUGGUGAUCCUGUCACAGUCUUGUCUAUAUUUCAGGUACUUCCUUUUGCUGAUUUUCUGAGAGAUUCUCUAUUUUCGAACCAGGAGAUAUCUACCACAUCUUACUACUGUAUUGUUUUGCAGGAACUUGGAUCGGAUGUAAAUUUGUAUGCUCUGGUCUUUGGAGAAUCGGUUUUGAAUGAUGCUGUUAGUAGUGUUUGAGUACUGAUUUCUGAUUCCCUAGAUUAGAAUGAAAAAAAUAUCACAUUACUUAUUAGGCUUUUCUCUUUUUGUAUGUUGCUUUUGGAAGAUGGCCAUAUCUCUGUACAGGUAUGUAAGCUAAUUCAAAAUAUACUGUGAAAGACGAUAUUGUAAGAUAUUUUAACCAGGGUUUAAAAUGGGGUGCAGGACAAUGUCCUUGGUAAGAAGUCAAUCAGCUGGUCAGAAUUUCUUUAUGGUGAUAGUCAGAUUUCUCGAAACCUUUGUCGGUUCAAUGUCUGCAGGUUUGCUUCUGUCAUAUGCCUUCCUUUCUCUAUAUUUGUAUGUUAACAUGCAUGGUUUGUCAUGGACGCUGCUAAAUAUCUUAUUGACAAGUUUGAGCAACCUAAGGAAAUUAAUAUAUGAAUACCAAACUAAAUUUGAUCUUUCAAGCAUCUCAACUUUUCCAAUGUCAUUAUAUUUUCCUAUAUGUGUGCUUUGUGGGUUAUUAAAGCGACAAAUGUGUGUUUCUGCAGGGGUUGGAGUUGGAUUUAUAUCUGCUCUCAUAUCCUUUUUUGGUUUUAGUUUCUUAUGAAAUAAUUUUGUUUCACUUCAUACAUAAACGAGUUGUUAGCCUUAAUGCAAAGCACCUCUUCAAGUAUGCAGGGCUAGAUGUUGACAAGUGAGUGAUCAUAGUUCUUCUAUGUCUGGAAGUUUUCUUAUGGUCCGCAUUGAAAUAUUUUAUUCUGAUUUUUUCACUCCUCCUUUCAGUCUGCAGAACUUGGAGUGCUGCCUCUUUGUGCUUUUUCCAUAUUUCUCGUAAAUAAUUUCUCCCUUAUAUAAAUUGCUUUAUUGUUUAGUUCACGCUCUUAGAGAUUGUACGGUUGUUAACUUUGUUUUCCUUGUGCUAGAUACAUGCUUGCUGAAGGUCUCAGUCUAUCUGGCAUCGUAUCGAUUCUAUUUACUGGGAUUGUGAGUUGUCAUUAUAUUUCUAUGAGUCUUGUGCGAUAUGAUUCUCAGCCAAAAGUAAAGCAGUAUAAUGGAAAUUGCUUGUGCUUUUCAGGUCAUGAAGCAUUACACCUACUCAAACUUGUCUACAAAUUCUCAGCGAUUUGUGUCUUCGUUUUUUCAUCUGAUAUCUUCCCUGGCAGAGACAUUUGUGUAUGCAAUUGAUUCGUACACUCUCAAGCAUUUUGAUGGUUGAUUUCUGUCAAUGGUCUGACGUUACGUUGCCAAAUGAUCAAAUCUGCAGGUUCAUCUACAUGGGUUUUGAUAUUGCCAUGGAAAACCACAGUUGGUCACAUGUGGGAUUCAUCCUUUUCUCCAUUGUAAGGUUACGCAAGUUAUAUUGGUUUGAAAUUCAAUUUGUAUAAACUGCUGAUGUUCCUUAACUUUUAUUUUAUCUAUCCUGACGAAUCUAGCUGUUCAUCGUAAUUGCAAGGUACGCUUUUUUGUUUCAUUUCAGGAUCUUUUGAAAUCACGUCUGUGUGUAUAAAUACAUGCAUUCAUUUCCAAAUUGCAGCUUUUGUGUUGUAUUUCGUGUCUGAUAAUGUUACUGUUGGCGUGUAUGUCUUACUCAGGGCAGCGAAUGUGUUUGGUUGUGGAUAUUUGGUCAACCUUGUACGACCUGCACAUAGGAAAAUACCUAUGACGCAUCAAAAAGCACUUUGGUACAGUGGUAAGACACUGCUCUUUGUUUCCUUAUGUACAUAUUGUUUUUCAUUACCUCAAUAAAAAGUAAAUAAGACAUGUGAGUUUCAUAGGACUUCGAGGUGCUAUGGCCUUUGCUCUUGCUCUGCAAUCUGUUCAUGAUCUCCCAGAAGGACAUGGUCAAACUAUCUUUACAGCAACUACAGCAAUUGUUGUUGUAACGGUAAGCAAUCCUUCUUUAAAAACUAAAAAUUUGCUUAAAACUGAGCUCACCGACCAGAGGGUUUCUAUUACUUGAUAGCUGAGCCAAAUUAUAUUGCAUUUUAUGUGAUCAUUGAUGCUACUGAAACGGAUUUCAGGUGUUGCUUAUUGGAGGAUCCACUGGUACAAUGCUUGAAGCCCUAGAGGUUGUAGGUGAUGGCCAUGAUGCAACCCUUGGUGAUGUAAGUCGAGUGGAAGUAAUAAUAUAUAUAUAGUUAUACAUAUAUUGGUUGUUUACAUAGGCGUAGUGUCCCAAAAAACCUCUUAUUUAUCUCUUCAAUGUAAAGUUAAUCUUGGUCUCUCAAUGCAGAAAACACAACAUGGUUAGUACCCUGAUCUUUUAUGUUCUUUUGUCAGGGCUUUGAGGUGGUGAACGAUCGGUAUAUGAAUAGGUUCGAUGAUGAAGAUUCACCAUCAGGAAGUGGAUUCAGGACAAAACUAAGAGAGUUCCACAAGAGGUAAAUUACUGAUUAACCGCUUUCAAGUUUGUAUUAAAACACAUGAAACAAAAAAAACAAACAUUCGUGUUGUGUUGUUAUGUGUUUAUGCAGCGCUGCGUCAUUUACAGAACUAGACAAGAACUACCUAACACCGUUUUUCACAAGUAACAACGGAGACUAUGAUGAUGAUGAUGAUGACAAUGAGCAUCACCAUGGUAACAACAAUUUAAUAAUACUCAACUACUAUUUCAAGCUUUUGUUAUUUCUAUACACCCAUUAAAACUUGAAACCGUUUUCUUUCUCUUUUUUUUUGUGCGCAGAAGAAACAACUCCUUUUACUAGAAGAGUGGAUUUUUAUAACCGGGGAUAAAAUUUUAUGAGACAGAAAAACCGAGUUGGUUCACAUCGACAGUGAGAUAUCAUAGUGAAGCAGCGGUUGAUGUACAUAGAAAACAAACUGGAUCGUGGUCGACAGUAAUAGUAGUAGUCAGAUUACUCUGAACUGUGUUCCUGUCCUGAACCUUAGUGGAUUAUUGUUUUGGCUAACUACAUUCACAAAAAAAAAACCUUAAUGGUCAUGGAUGAGAUUAUACUUGUCAAUAUCCCACGAAGCGUUAUUUAUAGUGUUUUGCUUUGAAC
rnacentral:lncRNA from 1 species